CACUGGAGUGAACAGUCAGAGUUACAGGCAAUAGUCUCCUCUACCACCAAAGCUGCUGCUCCAGCUGAGCAACAACAGCCCUGGGUCCUGUAGCAAAGUCUGCUGUGACUGUGUGCUUCCACGGGCUCUGCCAGAUCCUGAAUCCAGGACGUCUCCCCACUAGUGAAAGCCAGAGACAGGCUGCUUGGGAGCUGUGUGGGAUGGUGUCUAUCAGCACCACAUCUCCCCAUAAUCACAAACGCCCCACACCUUUCCCAGAGCACGGCACGGAGGUGUGUGAGCAGAGCCACGCAGCGCCUGUGCAGAGCAGCAGUGCGUGGCUGUGCUGACAGGGAAGGGCUGCCUCGUGUCACACCUUCCGAUUCCGCAGCCUGGCAAUCGGAGUUCCUUCGCUUGCUCCAGCUCCGCUGGCUAAGUGCAACAUCCACAGGCAGACCCAGGGGCGAGAGGACAGGAAUGGAAAAGACCCUUCUCAGGCUUUUUCCCUAAGCAUGCUGCUGCUCUAAACUCCCUUGGAAGCCCAGGAGAGAUCUGCCUAGCCAACAACAAACCACAAAUCUCCACUCUGCAGGUGCAUGAAAUGGAACUGAACAUUUUCAUCUCUGUGAAAAUUCUUACAUGAAUUCAGAAAGGGCACUGCAUGUAACCAAAACCUCUGGAUUCUGGCUCCUUUUAUUUGCUCUCAUCUGCAGCAUUCACCUGAUUUGCCUCGAACAGCAGCAGAGCCCCGGGGAGCCCUGGCAGGCUCAGCCCUCUCUGCAGUGUGCAGCGUUGUUAUGUGUGCACAGUGCUCGUGCACCGUGCCCAUAACCUGCAUCUCCAAGGUGCAGGGAGAACACUUGCUCCUGUCUCCUCUGGGGCUUUGCUUUAAAGCCUGGCUAUGGUUUAAGCUCACACUGCCCAUGAAAAUGAAGGAGCUUUGCACUGCAGCUCAUAUGCAGGUUCAUUUCAUAGCGUUUUGCCUGAAUGUGGACUGCUGGC